UACGAAGGGGGCAAGCGUUGUUCGGAAUUACUGGGCGUAAAGGGCGCGUAGGCGGCUCGGCACGUCCGUUGUGAAAUCGCCCGGCUCAACUGGGCGGGGUCAGCGGAUACGGUCGAGCUUGAGCAAGCUAGGGGGCAAUGGAAUUCCCGGUGUAGUGGUGGAAUGCGUAGAUAUCUGGAGGAAUACCGGUGGCGAAGGCGGCAUCCUGGACCGGCAUUGACGCUGAGGAGCGAAAGCAUGGGGAGCGAACAGGG
rnacentral:rRNA from 1 species